rfam:Schistosoma mansoni strain Puerto Rico chromosome 6, complete genome
AUCCAGCUGACGAGUCCCAAAAAGGGACGAAACGCGCGUCGUGGAU